ACGAACGCUGGCGGCAGGCCUAACACAUGCAAGUCGAGCGCUACCUUCGGGUGGAGCGGCGGACGGGUCAGUAACGCGUGGGAAUAUGCCCAAAGGUACGGAAUAGCCUCUGGAAACGGAGAGUAAUACCGUAUGUGCCCUUCGGGGGAAAGAUUUAUCGCCUUUGGAUUAGCCCGCGUUGGAUUAGGUAGUUGGUGGGGUAAUGGCCUACCAAGCCUACGAUCCAUAGCUGGUUUGAGAGGAUGAUCAGCAACACUGGGACUGAGACACGGCCCAGACUCCUACGGGAGCAGCAGUAGGGAAUCUUAG
rnacentral:rRNA from 1 species